rnacentral:rRNA from 1 species
AUGUCAAAUCGCCGCGUCUCGCCGCCGGAGCCGUUCAUCGGCGUCAGCAUGGAGCGGUUGGAGGCCAGCCUGGAGAGCGACGGCCUUGAACCCGGGUCGCUGGGGCCCGGCAUGGACAUGGUGAGGACCGUCGUCCAAUGCUCUCUCCCCAUGCCGCCCGUCUCCCCUGCCGCCCCUCUCUCGCUUGCCGGCGCGGCCUGGCUCCCCGGCGGCGCCGACCGCAUCAGCGCCCUCCCCGACCGCCUCCUCCGCGACAUCAUCUCCCGCCUCCCCGCCGCGGACGGCGCGCGCACCGCGGCUCUCGCCUCGCGCUGGCGCCCCCUCUGGCGCUCGGCGCCCCUCGUCGUCGCCGACGCCCACUUCCUCCCCAACGGCCGGUGGAUCCCCGGUGUCGGCGAGGAGGAUUCGCCCGGGGUCGCCGACCUCGUCACCUGCGUGCUCGCGGCGCACCCGGGGCCCUUCCGCUGCGUGCACCUCACACGCACCGCCAUGGACGCGCACCGGGGCGAGAUCGCGCGCUGGCUCGACGUCCUCGCCGCCAAGGGCGUCCAAGAGCUCGCCUUUAUCAACCGCCCGUGGCCGCUCGACAUCCGCCUCCCCGCCACGCUCUUCCGCUGCGCCCCCCGCACCCGCCUCUUCCUCAGCGCCUGGAGGCUCCCGGACACGGCCGCCGUCCCGCGCUCCGGCGCCUUCCCCAGCCUCCAGGAGCUCGGCCUCUCCGUCGUCGCCAUGGAGGACCGCGACCUCGCCUUCCUGCUGGACAGAAGCCCCGUCCUGGAGAUCCUCACCAUCAUCCUGUUAUUCCUGUCACAGGUCCCAGUGCGCCUCCGCCUCGUCAGCCACAGCGUGCGCUGCGUCCAGCUCUGCUAUUCCAUCGUGGCGGAGGUCUUGGUGGUGGACGCCCCUCGCCUGGAGAGCCUCUUGCAGUCAUGGGGCCUCCGCCUCGGCAGUAAGUCCCGGAGGUGCUGCAGGGUUAAGGUUGGCCAUGCGCCCAAGCUGCGUGUUAUUGGAUACCUUGAGCCAGGAGAGCAUGACUUGGAGAUUGGCAACACCGCUAUCAAGGCUGGGACUAAGUUGAGCACCAGCACCAGCACCCUUGUCCCGAGUGUCAAGAUCCUGGCCUUGGAACUUAAAUUCCAAGUCCGCAGUGACCUCAAGAAAGUGCCUAACUUCCUCCGAUGUUUUCCCAACGUUGAGACGCUCCAUAUCCAGUCUGAAAAGGCGUGUGAGGAGCCUACCGGCAAGGUCGGUCUCAAGUUUUGGCUGGAGGGCGGUCCUAUAACGUGUAUCCGGCAGCAAUUGAAGAAGUUAAUAUUCCGUGAGUUCCGAGGGUCGACAAAUGAAGUUGCUUUCCUUAAGUUCAUCGCUGAGAAGGCUCGGGUGCUGGAGAAGAUGAUGGUUGUGGUCUACUUGUCUUCGGAGGUUGACGUGAGUGCCAUGCUGAAGCCUCUGACUUGUGCAAAAUGGGCAAAUGGAGCUUGCAAACUCCAAGUAUACAAGAGCAUAUACAGCGACGGGUCACGUCCGGUUUAUGGCGUCAGGCUGGCAUCAGAGGUUUUGCCCGCUGACCCUUGA